rnacentral:rRNA from 1 species
CCCUUAGAUGUUCUGGGCCGCACGCGUGCUACACUGAGUGGAUCAGCGGGUCAGGUUACGCGAGAGCGUUUCCUAAUCUUCAAAUCCGCUCGUGAUGGGGAUUGACGGUUGCAAUUUUCCGUCAUGAACGAGGAAUACCUUGUAAGCGCGGGUCAUCAUCCCGCGCUGAAUACGUCCCUGCCCUUUGUACACACCGCCCGUCGCUCCUACCGAUCGAGUGGUCCGGUGAGGCUUUGGGAUCUAAGCGAAAAGAGCGCUUCGCUCCUUUUGCUGGGAGAACUCAGUCGAACCUUAUCAUUUAGAGGAAGGAGAAGUCGUAACA